AGCGAACGCUGGCGGCAGGCCUAACACAUGCAAGUCGAGCGAACCUUUCGGGGUUAGUGGCGGACGGGUGAGUAACACGUGGGAACGUGCCUUUAGGUUCGGAAUAACUCAGGGAAACUUGUGCUAAUACCGAAUGUGCCCUUCGGGGGAAAGAUUAAUCGCCUUUAGAGCGGCCCGCGUCUGAUUAGCUAGUUGGUUGAGGUAAUGGCUCACCAAGGCGACGAUCAGUAGCUGGUCUGAGAGGAUGAUCAGCCACAUUGGGACUGAGACACGGCCCAAACUCCUACGGGAGGCAGCAGUGGGGAAUCUUGCGCAAUGGGCGAAAGCCUGACGCAGCCAUGCCGCGUGAAUGAUGAAGGUCUUAGGAUUGUAAAAUUCUUUCACCGGGGACGAUAAUGACGGUACCCGGAGAAGAAGCCCCGGCUAACUUCGUG
rnacentral:rRNA from 1 species